AUUGAACGCUGGCGGCAUGCCUUACACAUGCAAGUCGAACGGUAACAGGUCUUCGGAUGCUGACGAGUGGCGAACGGGUGAGUAAUAUAUCGGAACGUGCCCAGUCGUGGGGGAUAACGCAGCGAAAGCUGUGCUAAUACCGCAUACGAUCUAUGGAUGAAAGCGGGGGAUCGCAAGACCUCGCGCGAUUGGAGCGGCCGAUAUCAGAUUAGGUAGUUGGUGGGGUAAAGGCCCACCAAGCCAACGAUCUGUAGCUGGUCUGAGAGGAUGUACGGCCACACUGGGACUGAGAUACGGCCCAGACUCCUACGGGGGGCAGCAGUUGGGAAUCUUAGGCAAUGGACGAAAGUCUGACCUAGCGACGCCGCGUGAGGGAAGAAGGCCUUCGGGUUGUAACUCUGUCAUGGGGAAGAAGUAAGUGACGGUACCCAAGAGGAAGACCCCUGCUAACUACGUGCCACGCAGCCGCGGUAAAGAGUAGUACA
rnacentral:rRNA from 1 species